UGUCAGGAUGGCCGAGUGGUCUAAGGCGCCAGACUCAAGUUCUGCUCUUCGAGAGAGGGCGUGGGUUCAAAUCCCACUUCUGACAU
rnacentral:tRNA from 1 species